UUCAACCCUCAUGCAGAAACACUACAGAUGGUUGCUACACCAUAGACAAUUAUAUUUUAAAAAGAGUAAGAUUUAGGGCUAAAAAAAAAAAAAAAAAAAAUUAAAAAUGAGGAAAAAUAUUUAGCUUAUUGGACUACUAGACAGAAAAAAUAUAUAGCAUAUUGAACUAGAUAUUCCACCAUUAUUAAUGGCAUACAAUGGGGUACAAUUAGGCCUUCCUUAAAAUCCAAGAAUGUGCUUAAUUAUCUUUGAAGCAAGCCCAAAUGGUGAUAGUAUUGUUGUUGUAAAAAAUAAUAUGAGAAUAAAACGAGAAACUACAGUGAGGCAGUAAGGGAAGUCUGUAUGUUAAUGACUCCUCCCAGGUUUUGUGUUUAGUAUUUGUAUAGUGAUGGAAGCAAUAACAAGACCUUCCAUAGGUGUUUAAAGGUCUAGUUAAUAUCUCUUUUAUUUUGCAUGCAUUUAACUCUGCAAUGAUGACAAUGUGCUACAUUAAUACACUUUUUGUUACAGCAUUUAUCCUAGGAUGCACAGCACAGGACAAUGUAAUACAGUCCGAACCAGUUAUGACCGCUUUUGAAGAUGGAACAGCCACUCUUGACUGCACUUAUAAAGCAACCAGCACUCAGUAUCCAAAUCUCCUCUGGUACCAACAGAAGACAAAUGGAUCACCAAAAUACAUGCUCAUAAGUCUUUCUGGAUCGAGCAACAAUGAUGAAGAGUUCAAGGUGAGAUUUAAUGCAGUUCUCAACACAUCUGCAUCAACAGUCCCUCUGACAAUCAAGGAUCUGCGUGUGUCUGACUCUGCUGUGUACUACUGUGCCCUGAAGCCCACAAUGUGACGGCUGAGGACAAAAUUGAGCCAAACCGAGGGACCAAAGUCAUCAAAACAGAAGGAGAGUCUGUAACACUGAGCUGCUCAUAUGAUUCAGACAGUGAAUAUGUACGUCUUUACUGGUACAGACAAUAUCCCAAUGAAGAACCUCAAUAUUUAUUACGUGAAGGAGCUCGAUCGAACUCUGCUAAGGACAGCUCUGAUCCUCGAUUUCAGUCAAGUACUUCUCGAGUAUCGACUGAACUCAUUAUUAGCAGUGUGACUGUGUCAGAUUCAGCUCUCUAUUAUUGUGCUCUAAGAGUUGAAGCCCAGUGAUACAAAACAUGAAACACGUCGUACAAAAUGUAUUUUCACGUCGUACAGUAUGUAUUUUUGAAAUUGAAUAAAUCAUAAUGAAAGUAACACAGUCAUAUGAACAUUAUAAACUUCAGAAGUUUAUGAACAUAUGAACUUUAUGAACAUGAACUUGCAAUCAAUACAUUUUGAUCACAAGUAAAAUUGUUUUGCUAUAAACAACAGUACAAUAGAUUGUGAGAUGAUUUUUGCUGGAAACAUAAAUAUGUUUCAUAAUUUAGUUUUAAAGCUUACUGUGACAAACUGUCUGACACCAAAAUAUGACUAAAGUUUAUUUGAACUUAUAUUAUUACAAAAUCCACUAUGUACUUAUUUAUUACCAAUUAAAUGCUCUGUAUCUUAACACUGAUCGACAGAUACAUUUGUUUGAAAUAAUAGUAGCAGUAAUGAGCCAGACC